CAUUAUCUUUUGCAUAAAUCUUUCGAUUUUCUUGACGUCACGUCUUCUAUUUAAGCUCUCUCUCCUUAAUCUUUCCUCCUUUAUUAACAAAGCUGCACUUAAUAUAAGAAUAUAAGAAUUUUAUACGAAAAUGAAGUGGACAGCUUUAAUUCUUAUCUGUUUCUUGCUCCAAUUUGCAUCUUCUCAAGAUCCUUUCAAUUUAAAAAUCGACAUACCGGAAAUUUUUUCGUAUACUCAUAGCAAAACCGGAAAGAGUAACAAAUUAAAUGUCGACGUAUUGAAACGAUUCGUUAAUGUUGGAGUUCGAAAUCGCUAGCAUUUUUUUAAAAUAUUUUUUUUUGGCACAUUUCCUCAAUUCUGUAAAAGUUUUGUUUUAAUCUUGCUAAAAAAACAAGUUAUUUUUGUAUUUUAAUAAAUGUUUUCUUUUAAACUCGUUAUUUGCUUUUUGAUUAUUUUAACUACAUUAUGAUAUUAAAUAUAGUAAAUUUAACAUUACAUAGGGUGGUCUAAAAGUCAGUUAGCCGCUGUAAAAACUCUAGAUUCAAACGCUUAAUUUACUUACAAAAUGUAUUUUUUGCUCAACAUGCUCACAAAUUGCUGAAUUGUCCGAAGAAAAAAUACGGUUGAGUUUUUGACCAUCCCAUACCAUAAAAAAUUGUGUUUUCCUCAUAACAUAAAAAUAAUAUUUUUUAUUACUUCCAAAAUAAGAAUAAUCAUAGAAAAGC